UAUUUUUGGUCACCAGUUUUAUUAGGAGGUUUCACAUGCCGUUACUUACAGAGAAAAAUUUAACUUAAUUUGCAUGUGUCAACUCACGGACACAUGAAAGCAAUGUGUCCGAAUGCCAAAUCAACCUAGCAUUCGCUAGGUUUUUUUAUAUCUCUUUAUCGAU
rnacentral:ncRNA from 1 species